CGCUUUAUAGCUCAGUUGGUUAGAGCGCUGCACCGGAAUUAGCCUGCAUGGCAGGCGGUUCCUAAAAUUGGGCAAGCCUGGGUAUUUUAGACCGCCUGCCAUGCAGGCUACACCGGAAUCGCAGAGCAGCAGGUUCGACUCCUGCAAGAGGGC